rnacentral:tRNA from 1 species
GGCUUCAUAGCUCAGUGGUAGAGCAUUUGCACCAUAAUUGCAAAGGUCAUGGGUUCGAAUCCCGUUGGAGCCU